GACGAACGCUGGCGGAAUGGAUUAGGCAUGCAAGUCGUACGAGAUUUAUACUUUCGGGUAUAUUGAGAGUGGCAAACGGGUGAGUAACGCGUGGGUAUCUGCCUUUAAGCGGGGGAUAACUCAGGGAAACUUGAGCUAAUACCGCAUGUGGCAUUAAUGUUAAAGGUGGCCUCUAUUUAUAAGCUACCGCUUAGAGAUGAGCCUGCGUACUAUUAGCUUGUUGGUGGGGUAAUGGCCUACCAAGGCAAUGAUAGUUAGGCGGCCUUAACGGGUGGUCGCCCACACUGGGAUUGAGAUACGGCCCAGACUCCUACGGGAGGCAGCAGUCGAGAAUAGUCUACAAUGGACGAAAGUCUGAUAGUGCAAUUCCGCGUGGAUGAAGAAGCAUUUCGGUGUGUAAAAUCCUUUUCUUUGUGAGCAAAGAUUUGAAGGUGAAUAAUUUUAAAUUAAGAUAUUAGCAAAGGAAUAAGCCUCGGCUAACUCCGUGCCAGCAGCCGCGGUAAUACGU
rnacentral:rRNA from 1 species